rnacentral:rRNA from 1 species
AGAGUUUGAUCCUGGCUCAGGAUGAACGCUGGCGGCGUGCCUAAUACAUGCAAGUCGAGCGAACAGAUAAGGAGCUUGCUCCUUUGACGUUAGCGGCGGACGGGUGAGUAACACGUGGGUAACCUACCUAUAAGACUGGAAUAACUCCGGGAAACCGGGGCUAAUGCCGGAUAACAUUUAGAACCGCAUGGUUCUAAAGUGAAAGAUGGUUUUGCUAUCACUUAUAGAUGGACCCGCGCCGUAUUAGCUAGUUGGUAAGGUAACGGCUUACCAAGGCAACGAUACGUAGCCGACCUGAGAGGGUGAUCGGCCACACUGGAACUGAGACACGGUCCAGACUCCUACGGGAGGCAGCAGUAGGGAAUCUUCCGCAAUGGGCAAAAGCCUGACGGAGCAACGCCGCGUGAGUGAUGAAGGUCUUCGGAUCGUAAAACUCUGUUAUUAGGGAAGAACAAAUGUGUAAGUAACUAUGCACGUCUUGACGGUACCUAAUCAGAAAGCCACGGCUAACUACGUG